UGGAAACUGAACCAUGCCCACGGUAGACAUAACACAGAGACCUCCUCCAGAGCGUGGUCCCCUUUGGUGGGGAGCGUAAGGCAGGGCUGGCACAGGAGAACUUGGGCUGGCUCCGUCAGCUUGGUGCUUCCACCCAGCAACAUCUCUCCAUGUGGGAACAGAAAAAUAUUAACUCAGGAACCCAUGCCCAUUAGUGAAUCGCUGUGUCUGCAACUUUACGCUCAUUAGAGUUUUAAUAAACUCCUGCCUGUUUUUAUAGGGAUUUUUUUCCACCACCUUUGAACUACUUGAAAACAAUAAAGUGCCCUCUUCACACAGGUUGGCCCAAUGGGAAGACUGACCUUAUUUCCACUCUCCUCCUGAGAGUGAUGAUGCGGCCCCACGAGCCAGGGACACUAUGAUCAAAUGAGAGAUGGACUUCAGCCUCUGCGGUGACCCCCGCAGGAAGCAACUGGACAUUUCCUCUGCACAUUGUCUUUUGCAAAGAUACAACUUCUGCAGCCAGAAAAGACAGAAAGUAGACUGCAAACCACCACCUGUGACUGCCCUUGCCCAGUGUGAAGCAGAACAGUAAUGCUCAAGGAGGUGACAUCAGUGUGGCUCGAUGUCCCCAGGGAGGCUUAAGCCUGACAGACGCACCUCCUGCCAUCCUGCACUCCCACCCUGGUCGGCGAUGCCCUGAGGGAAGGGACCGUCGCUCUGCAUGUCUGUGCUUACUCACCCCACCCACACGUGGGGCCUGUGAUUCCCACGUCCCCCUGGAGGAAGCUGCCUCUUUGCACUGUACACCACGUCAUCUCCCCGCCUCCUCGCUGGACUCGGAGCUUCUCACUUGCUGGCCGUGGGCCGGGUGGGUCUACAGGGAUAAAGAAUGUGCACGCCAGACGUGAUGUUCGUUUUCUGAUAAUCAAUGGAUUUUAUGCAUCUGCCAAGAGUUGUGAACGGGCGAUAUGAUAUAUAGAUAGUCGGCAACUAAAUUUCAUCUCGCUCAUCAGUGCUGAUGGACAGGAAGUGGAUGCAGGUAGGUUGUGUGGAGAGAAACAUGGGGCCGGCCCUGGUGUCUGCAGGAAGAGUGAGGUGGUGGACCAGCAGGGUCCACCCUGGGGUCCAGACAGGCCAACAGCCAUGGUUUCCUACUCCCGACACCUGACACCUGCAGCAGAGGGAGCUCCCCCGGGCUUGCUCCUACCCACCCCCUCCCCGGCCCAGCCUCCCUGGGGUACCUGAGUCUCUCUGAGAGCAGCCUGCACCCAAGUCAUUGGGUCACUGGGCGUGUGGCUGGCAUGCAGGUGCUGGUGCAGUGCGUGGGUGGGGCCGAGAUCCUGGGUUUCCAACCAGCUCCGAGGUGGUGUCUGCCAACCACGUGGG
ensembl:lncRNA